rnacentral:tRNA from 1 species
GGCGCUAUAGCCAAGUGGUUACGGCGACAGAUUAGAAUAUUCUUUCAUUCAUCUGUUCCUCUUUGAGGGCGCAGGUUCAAAUCCUGCUGGCGUCG